rnacentral:rRNA from 1 species
AUUGAACGCUGGCGGCAGGCUUAACACAUGCAAGUCGAGCGGAGAUGAGGUGCUUGCACCUUAUCUUAGCGGCGGACGGGUGAGUAAUGCUUAGGAAUCUGCCUAUUAGUGGGGGACAACAUUCCGAAAGGAAUGCUAAUACCGCAUACGUCCUACGGGAGAAAGCAGGGGAUCUUCGGACCUUGCGCUAAUAGAUGAGCCUAAGUCGGAUUAGCUAGUUGGUGGGGUAAAGGCCUACCAAGGCGACGAUCUGUAGCGGGUCUGAGAGGAUGAACCGCCACACUGUGACUGAGACACGGCCCAGACUCCUACGGGAGGCAGCAGUGGGGAAUAUUGGACAAUGGGGGGAACCCUGAUCCAGCCAUGCCGCGUGUGUGAAGAAGGCCUUAUGGUUGUAAAGCACUUUAAGCGAGGAGGAGGCUACUGAGACUAAUACUCUUGGAUAGUGGACGUUACUCGCAGAAUAAGCACCGGCUAACUCUGUGCCAGCCGCCGCCGUAACAC